rnacentral:rRNA from 1 species
GACGAACCGUGCAAACGUUGUUCGGAAUCACUGGGCUUAAAGGGCGCGUAGGCGGGCAAGCAAGUCCGGGGUGAAAUCUUUCGGCCCAACCGGAAAAGGGCCUUGGAUACUGCUUGUCUGGAGGGAGGUAGGGGCAGACGGAACUUCCGGUGGAGCGGUGAAAUGCGUUGAUAUCGGAAGGAACACCAGUGGCGAAAGCGGCUUCCUGGUCCGACACCGACGUUCAGGCACGAAAGCGUGGGGAGCAAACAGG